UGGGGAAUAUUGGACAAUGGGCGCAAGCCUGAUCCAGCCAUGCCGCGUGAGUGAUGAAGGCCCUAGGGUUGUAAAGCUCUUUCAGCGAGGAGGAUAAUGACGUUACUCGCAGAAGAAGCCCCGGCUAACUUCGUGCCAGCAGCCGCGGUAAUACGAAGGGGGCUAGCGUUGUUCGGAAUCACUGGGCGUAAAGCGCACGUAGGCGGACUUUUAAGUCAGGGGUGAAAUCCCGGGGCUCAACCUCGGAACUGCCUUUGAUACUGGAAGUCUGGAGUCCGAGAGAGGUGAGUGGANCAUCCCGGAUGCUGGAUAGGUAGGGUUAGGAAAAAGGUUUGCAAAUUGCUUAAGGAAUUAAUUUCCGGGAAAGGAAACCAACCAGUGGCGAAGGCGGCUCACUGGCUCGGUACUGGCGCUGAGGUGCGAAAAGCGUGGGGAGCAAAACAGGAUUAGAUACCCUGGUAGUCCACGCCGUAAAACGAUGGAAGCUAGCCGUCAGGGUGCAUGCAUCUUGGUGGCGCAGUUAAACGCAUUAAAGCUUCCCGCCUGGGGAGUACGGUCGCAAGAUUAAAAACUCAAAAUGAAUUGACGGGGGUCAUAGCUG
rnacentral:rRNA from 1 species